GAUAACGCUGGCGGCGUGCAUAACACAUGCAAGUCGAACGACGUGGCGAACGGGUGAGUAACACGUGAGUAACCUGCCUUACACAAGGGGAUAGCCUUCUGCUACGAAGAAUAAUACUCUAUAGCGUACGAUGGACUUGCGUCUGAUUAGGUAGUUGGUGAGAUAAAGGCCCACCACGGCCACGAUCAGUAGCCGGCUUGAGAGAGGGUACAGCCACAUUGGGACUGAGACACGGCCCAAACUCUACGAGAGGCAGCAGUGGGGAGUUUUGCACAAUGGGGGAAGACCUGGGGCAGCGGGGCCGAGUGAUUUGGAAGGCCGUCGGAUUGUAAAAAUCGUGUAUAUGGGGUGCAGUACCAUAAGAAUAAGGUCCGGCUAAAUACGUGCCAGCAGCCGCGGUAAUAC
rnacentral:rRNA from 1 species